rnacentral:rRNA from 1 species
GGGCCCGCACAAGCGGUGGAGUAUGUGGUUUAAUUCGAUGCAACGCGAAGAACCUUACCAGGGUUUGACAUCCUGCGAAUUUCUGGGAAACCGGAAAGUGCCUUCGGGAGCGCAGUGACAGGUGGUGCAUGGCUGUCGUCAGCUCGUGUCGUGAGAUGUUGGGUUAAGUCCCGCAACGAGCGCAACCCACGUCUUUAGUUGCCAGCAUUUAGUUGGGCACUCUAGAGAGACCGCCGGUGAUAAACCGGAGGAAGGUGUGGAUGACGUCAAGUCAUCAUGCCCCUUACAUCCUGGGCUACACACGUACUACAAUGCUACGGACAAAGGGCAGCAAACUCGCGAGAGUAAGCUAAUCCCUAAAAAGCGCCUCAGUUCAGAUUGCACUCUGCAACUCGAGUGCAUGAAGUCGGAAUCGCUAGUAAUCGCGGAU